rnacentral:rRNA from 1 species
GACGAACGCUGGCGGCGUGCUUAACACAUGCAAGUCGAUCGGAAAGGCCCUGCUUUUGUGGGGUGCUCGAGUGGCGAACGGGUGAGUAACACGUGAGUAACCUGCCCUUGACUUUGGGAUAACUUCAGGAAACUGGGGCUAAUACCGGAUAGGAGCUCCUGCUGCAUGGUGGGGGUUGGAAAGUUUCGGCGGUUGGGGAUGGACUCGCGGCUUAUCAGCUUGUUGGUGGGGUAGUGGCUUACCAAGGCUUUGACGGGUAGCCGGCCUGAGAGGGUGACCGGCCACAUUGGGACUGAGAUACGGCCCAGACUCCUACGGGAGGCAGCAGUGGGGAAUAUUGCACAAUGGGCGGAAGCCUGAUGCAGCAACGCCGCGUGCGGGAUGACGGCCUUCGGGUUGUAAACCGCUUUCGCCUGUGACGAAGCGUGAGUGACGGUAAUGGGUAAAGAAGCACCGGCUAACUACGUGCCAGCAGCCGCGGUGAUACGUAGGGUGCGAGCGUUGUCCGGAUUUAUUGGGCGUAAAGGGCUCGUAGGUGGUUGAUCGCGUCGGAAGUGUAAUCUUGGGGCUUAACCCUGAGCGUGCUUUCGAUACGGGUUGACUUGAGGAAGGUAGGGGAGAAUGGAAUUCCUGGUGGAGCGGUGGAAUGCGCAGAUAUCAGGAGGAACACCAGUGGCGAAGGCGGUUCUCUGGGCUUUUCCUGACGCUGAGGAGCGAAAGCGUGGGGAGCGAACAGGCUUAGAUACCCUGGUAGUCCACGCUGUAAACGGUGGGUACUAGGUGUGGGGUCCAUUCCACGGGUUCCGUGCCGUAGCUAACGCUUUAGGUACCCCGCCUGGGGAGUACGGCCGCAAGGCUAAAACUCAAAGGAAUUGACGGGGCCCCGCACAAGCGGCGGAGCAUGCGGAUUAAUUCGAUGCAACGCGUAGAACCUUACCUGGGUUUGACAUGGAUCGGGAGUGCUCAGAGAUGGGUGUGCCUCUUUUGGGGUCGGUUCACAGGUGGUGCAUGGCUGUCGUCAGCUCGUGUCGUGAGAUGUUGGGUUAAGUCCCGCAACGAGCGCAACCCUUGUUCACUGUUGCCAGCACGUUAUGGUGGGGACUCAGUGGAGACCGCCGGGGUCAACUCGGAGGAAGGUGGGGAUGACGUCAAGUCAUCAUGCCCCUUAUGUCCAGGGCUUCACGCAUGCUACAAUGGCUGGUACAGAGAGUGGCGAGCCUGUGAGGGUGAGCGAAUCUCGGAAAGCCGGUCUCAGUUCGGAUUGGGGUCUGCAACUCGACCUCAUGAAGUCGGAGUCGCCAGUAAUCGCAGAUCAGCAACGCUGCGGUGAAUACGUUCCCGGG